rnacentral:rRNA from 1 species
AGAGUUUGAUCAUGGCUCAGAUUGAACGCUGGCGGCAGGCCUAACACAUGCAAGUCGAACGGUAACAGGAAGCAGCUUGCUGCUUCGCUGACGAGUGGCGGACGGGUGAGUAAUGUCUGGGAAGCUGCCUGAUGGAGGGGGAUAACUACUGGAAACGGUAGCUAAUACCGCAUAAUGUCGCAAGACCAAAGAGGGGGACCUUCGGGCCUCUUGCCAUCGGAUGUGCCCAGAUGGGAUUAGCUUGUUGGUGGGGUAACGGCUCACCAAGGCGACGAUCCCUAGCUGGUCUGAGAGGAUGACCAGCCACACUGGAACUGAGACGCGGUCCAGACUCCUACGGGAGGCAGCAGUGGGGAAUAUUGCACAAUGGGCGCAAGCCUGAUGCAGCCAUGCCGCGUGUAUGAAGAAGGCCUUCGGGUUGUAAAGUACUUUCAGCGGGGAGGAAGGGAGUAAAGUUAAUACCUUUGCUCAUUGACGUUACCCGCAGAAGAAGCACCGGCUAACUCCGUGCCAGCAGCCGCGGUAAUACGGAGGGUGCAAGCGUUAAUCGGAAUUACUGGGCGUAAAGCGCACGCAGGCGGUUUGUUAAGUCAGAUGUGAAAUCCCCGGGCUCAACCUGGGAACUGCAUCUGAUACUGGCAAGCUUGAGUCUCGUAGAGGGGGGUAGAAUUCCAGGUGUAGCGGUGAAAUGCGUAGAGAUCUGGAGGAAUACCGGUGGCGAAGGCGGCCCCCUGGACGAAGACUGACGCUCAGGUGCGAAAGCGUGGGGAGCAAACAGGAUUAGAUACCCUGGUAGUCCACGCCGUAAACGAUGUCGACUUGGAGGUUGUGCCCUUGAGGCGUGGCUUCCGGAGCUAACGCGUUAAGUCGACCGCCUGGGGAGUACGGCCGCAAGGUUAAAACUCAAAUGAAUUGACGGGGGCCCGCACAAGCGGUGGAGCAUGUGGUUUAAUUCGAUGCAACGCGAAGAACCUUACCUGGUCUUGACAUCCACGGAAGUUUUCAGAGAUGAGAAUGUGCCUUCGGGAACCGUGAGACAGGUGCUGCAUGGCUGUCGUCAGCUCGUGUUGUGAAAUGUUGGGUUAAGUCCCGCAACGAGCGCAACCCUUAUCCUUUGUUGCCAGCGGUCCGGCCGGGAACUCAAAGGAGACUGCCAGUGAUAAACUGGAGGAAGGUGGGGAUGACGUCAAGUCAUCAUGGCCCUUACGACCAGGGCUACACACGUGCUACAAUGGCGCAUACAAAGAGAAGCGACCUCGCGAGAGCAAGCGGACCUCAUAAAGUGCGUCGUAGUCCGGAUUGGAGUCUGCAACUCGACUCCAUGAAGUCGGAAUCGCUAGUAAUCGUGGAUCAGAAUGCCACGGUGAAUACGUUCCCGGGCCUUGUACACACCGCCCGUCACACCAUGGGAGUGGGUUGCAAAAGAAGUAGGUAGCUUAACCUUCGGGAGGGCGCUUACCACUUUGUGAUUCAUGACUGGGGUGAAGUCGAAACAAGGUAACCGUAGGGGAACCUGCGGUUG